GUGGAGGCAUGUGUGUUGCAUGGGCUCAAACGACGAGCCGCUGGCUUUCUGCGCAGCAACAAGAUAGCGGCGCUCUUCAUGAAGGUGGGCAAAAGCUUCCCCCCAGCUGAAGAGCUUUGCAGGAAGGCCCAGGAGCUGGAGCAGCUGAUGGAGACAAAACGAAGUCAAAGCUUGCAAAGCCAAGACAGUCUACGUAAGAUGCCCCGGCUGCCGAGCCUCAACCCUCCUGGGGUCAAGAACUUGUGGAUCCGAACAGCUUUAUUUGAAAAAGUUCUGGAUAAAAUUGUCCUUUACCUGGUGGAGAACAGCAGUAAAUUCUACGAGAAAGAGGCUAUUCUGAUGGACCCUGUGGAUGGACCUAUUCUGGCAUCGCUAUUAGGUAAUAAAAUGGAAAAUAGAAUAUAUCUUUAUUUUGUUUUUUCUUUCUAAACAGUAAUCAAGUAGAGCAAAACACUGCAAUGGUUGCAA